GGCGGUCGGGGGGUGUUGUCGUGCUGCUCAGCACAGCUUUCGUUCCUCUGUACUCGGCGGAGUUUUUAUGCGUUGCCCUCAGGUGGGAUGAAUUUGACUGCAACAAAAGUCCACUGAGAUGCGUCAGUGUUUCCCGAAGGCUCUUAAUCUCUUAUAACUUCCUCUCCUUUUGGGGGCAGAGCUCCCAUCAGUGCGUACCGCACUGCAGCUGAUGGCGUUCACCCUCUGACACUUUGUUUCUGCUCGAUGUAACGCGAGGGUUUGGGGCGCCGCAGAACUACGUGGUUUCAUGGCAUCGUUUUUAGUUUAGAUCGGCAAAUCGUUAACAAUUACUUUCUGCUUAUCCGUAUCUUCGGAGUCUGGGGACGAGAUCCUUCCUCUUGCGAUCCAUCGGCACCUGAAGGAUCUCUGAAAGGAAACCGGUGGAACGUGUGAGGGCUUCCUCUGGCGGAAAAGAACAAGACGAAAUAAGACACUAGGGAAGCUAAUGUGAGACACUAGUGCCCAAAUCACUUUAGACACGACUGAUAUGGCUGAUGAGGUAAGACAUCUGCAAAAGUAACCUCCUAUGUCUCUCAUGGAGGAAUGCUGCCAUAGAAAGACAGCCCAGG
rnacentral:lncRNA from 1 species